UUAAGCUAAUAGGCUGCACCUGGGGAUGACCCAGGCCUUGAAGGGCUGAUUGAAGAUGGAGCCCAGCUGGGGAGGAACAGGAGGGGCUGGUAUAAAGCUAGUAAGUUGACAGCAGAAAAGAGCUGUAGGGCAGGGAGUUUGAUGCUAUGGAUUUCAGUAGCCUGCAGCUUCCUCCCUGGGAGGAGAGCAUUUGAGCUGGUACACUCAGAGAGUGGGGAGCUAGAAGUUGUAGGAAGGAAUCCAGGGAAAGACCCAACAGAGUCUGAGGGAAAGCAGACUACAGUUGCCAGGUAUAGGGUCCCUGAAUUAGAACCUGGAAUAGUGGGGUGGCCCUAGGUUCCCUUACCAGCCACAGGAGAAAUGGCACAGACCAGGCAGCAGAGUGCAGACUGCCUAGGAUGGUUGUCCAGAGGGACUUCCUUACCCUGGAAGGGGAGAACUAUAGUGACCUGGCUGGAGGGCUAAGCAUGAAGACAGAACACCCUAAGACACAGAGAGUAAGAGAGAGUGGUGGUAGGGAUGCAGUAAGCAGUAGAAUAGGGUGUUGGAUCUAUAAAGAACUAAUCCUCAGAGCAUCCAGGAGGAGGUGCCACCUAGUGAUGAGUGAAGCACCCCAUGACAAAUGUAAGAUGGACCCCUCCAUAUCAACAGUGGCAAGUCUGGGAGAAGCAGUAUCUUCUGAUUACACCAAGAUCCAGUGUCUUCAACAUCCUGGGUGACCAGUGCAAAUGGGGAGUGGCUGCUCCUCCAACCCACAGGCUGGGAGAGCAGUCACAAGAAUGGAGGGAUCCAUCUCCAUCUACUCUCGCUGCUCUCUCACCUGCAUAGAGACCACAAUUCACAAGAUGCAGUAAUGGACAGUAAAACCAACUGCGUGCGUGUGAGAGGAGGCACUCGGAUACAAAACAGAAUCUGCAGGCUCUUCCCCAGCUGCAUCUCUAUCACAGCAUAACAUUGAGACCUGUCAUGGCAGCCACCAGAACUAGUGAACCCUCCCUCCAACUUCCAUGUACUUGAGCCUGUAGCAAUUACUGAUCUUUGGUGUAGUGGUGUUUGGUGGGCUUGCAUUUUAUUCUAAACUUUUAAAGGAAUUUCCCUUGGGACUUGUCAAGGAUUUCUGUCUGACUAGCAAUAGUCCAAGACACAGGAAAUGCCCAUGUUUCCAUUUUGCAAGUUAAGAAUGGAAACUUGUCUGUCUCUUUUCCCAGAAUUGCCACAGUGUUUUAAUCAAUAGUUUUAAUAAAGGCUUUCUGAAAUUGUUAGA